rnacentral:rRNA from 1 species
UACGAAGGGGGCAAGCGUUGUUCGGAAUUACUGGGCGUAAAGGGCGCGUAGGCGGCCGAUCAAGUCAGGCGUGAAAUUCCCGGGCUCAACCUGGGGGCUGCGCUUGAUACUGAUUGGCUUGAAUGCGGGAGAGGAUAGUGGAAUUCCCAGUGUAGAGGUGAAAUUCGUAGAUAUUGGGAAGAACACCGGUGGCGAAGGCGGCUAUCUGGACUGCAACUGACACUGAGGAACGAAAGCCAGGGGAGCAAACGGG